GAUGAAGAACGUAGCGAAAUGCGAUAAGUAGUGUGAAUUGCAGAAUUCAGUGAAUCAUCGAAUCUUUGAACGCACAUUGCGCCCCUUGGUAUUCCAUGGGGCAUGCCUGUUCGAGCGUCAUUUGUACCCUCAAGCUUUGCUUGGUGUUGGGCGUCUUGUCGUAUUACGACUCGCCUUAAAUACAUUGGCAGCCGGCACUUUGGCCUAGGAGCGCAGCACAUUUUGCGAUCGUAGCCCGUUGUACUGGCGUCCAUCAAGAACAUUUACCACGUUUGACCUCGGAUCAGGUAGGGAUACCCGCUAAACUUAAGCAUAUCAAUAAGCGGAGGA
rnacentral:misc_RNA from 1 species